CCCAUGCCGAACACAGUAGUUAAGCCCUCAAACGCCGAAAGUACUUGAAUGGAGACGUUCCGGGAGGAUAGGUAAUCGCUGGUC
rnacentral:rRNA from 1 species